rnacentral:misc_RNA from 1 species
GAUGAAGAACGUAGUGAAAUGCGAUAAGUAAUGUGAAUUGCAGAAUUCAGUGAAUCAUGGAAUCUUUGAACGCACAUUGCGCCCCCUGGUAUUCCGGGGGGCAUGCCUGUUCGAGCGUCAUUUCACCACUCAAGCCUCGCUUGGUAUUGGGCAUCGCGGUCCGCCGCGCGCCUCAAAUCGACCGGCUGGGUCUUCUGUCCCCUAAGCGUUGUGGAAACUAUUCGCUAAAGGGUGUUCGGGAGGCUACGCCGUAAAACAACCCCAUUUCUAAGGUUGACCUCGGAUCAGGUAGGGAUACCCGCUGAACUUAAGCAUAUCAAUAAGCGGAGGA